rnacentral:rRNA from 1 species
CAGCAGCCGCGGGAAUACGGAGGGGGCUAGCGUUGUUCGGAAUUACUGGGCGUAAAGCGCACGUAGGCGGCUUGGUAAGUUAGAGGUGAAAGCCUGGAGCUCAACUCCAGAAUUGCCUUUAAGACUGCCGAGCUAGCAGGUGAGAGAGGUAAGUGGAAUUCCGAGUGUAGAGGUGAAAUUCGUAGAUAUUCGGAAGAACACCAGUGGCGAAGGCGGCUUACUGGUCCAUUACUGACGCUGAGGUGCGAAAGCGUGGGGAGCAAACAGGAUUAGAUACCCGGGUAGUCCCUGUCUCUUAUAA